GUCCCUGUAGCGCAGUGGUUAGCGCUUUGGAAUCUUAAUCCAAAGGUCGUGGAUUCGAAUCCCUCUUGGGACG